rnacentral:rRNA from 1 species
AGAAUCAACGCUGGCGGCGUGCCUAACACAUGCAAGUCGAACGCGAAAGUGGAGCAAUCCAUUAGUAGAGUGGCAAACGGGUGAGUAACACGUGGGCGACCUACCUCAGAGUGGGGGAUAACCUUCCGAAAGGAGGGCUAAUACCGCAUGACAUCCCGUGUUUGGAUACACGGAGAUCAAUGCCGGGGAUCGCAAGACCUGGCGCUUGGAGAGGGGCCCGCGUCCGAUUAGGCUAGUUGGUGAGGUAACGGCUCACCAAGGCUCCGAU